GCAAGUCGAACGAUAAUGUUACUUCGGUAACAGGAAAGUGGCGCACGGGUGAGUAACGCGUAGAGAUCUACCAAGCAGUGGGGAACAACUAUUGGAAACGAUAGCUAAAACCGCAUACGCCCUGAGGGGGAAAUAUGUAUAGCUGUUUGAUGAGUCUGCGUUAGAUUAGCUAGUUGGUGAGGUAAUGGCUCACCAAGGCAACGAUCUAUAGCUGGUUUGAGAGGAUGACC
rnacentral:rRNA from 1 species